AUUGAACGCUGGCGGCAUGCUUUACACAUGCAAGUCGAACGGCAGCGCGGGGCAACCUGGCGGCGAGUGGCGAACGGGUGAGUAAUAUAUCGGAACGUACCCAAGAGUGGGGGAUAACGUAGCGAAAGUUACGCUAAUACCGCAUACGAUCUAAGGACGAAAGUGGGGGAUCGCAAGACCUCAUGCUCCUGGAGCGGCCGAUAUCUGAUUAGCUAGUUGGUGAGGUAAAGGCUCACCAAGGCGACGAUCAGUAGCUGGUCUGAGAGGACGACCGGCCACACUGGAACUGAGACACGGUCCAGACUCCUACGGGAGGCAGCAGUGGGGAAUGUUGGACAAUGGGCGCAAGCCUGAUCCAGCAAUGCCGCGUGAGUGAAGAAGGCCUUCGGGUUGUAAAGCUCUUUUGUCAGGGAAGAAACGGUAGAGGCUAAUAUCCUGUGCUAAUGACGGUACCUGAAGAAUAAGCACCGGCUAACUACGUG
rnacentral:rRNA from 1 species